rnacentral:rRNA from 1 species
AGAGUUUGAUCCUGGCUCAGGACAAACGCUGGCGGCGUGCGUAACACAUGCAAGUCGGACGGCUGCAGCAAUGCAGCAGUGGCGGACGGGUGCGGAACACGUGGCUACCUACCCGGUACUGGGGAAUACCCUGCGGAAACGCAGGCUAAGACCGCAUACGCUCGGUGACGAGGAAAGCCUUUGGGCGGUAUCGGAUGGGG